GUUGAAUAUCGGAUUUGUAUAAGACAACUUUGUGCAGGUAUGUUUCUAUGUAUUUUUAUUUUUUUUUUUCUUCUAGUUGCUUUGAUCUCUUUGGGGGUCGGCCGCUCUCGUUCGUUGACAGAACGAAAUAAUUCUAUCCUUGGGUUUAAUGUCCACAUAUCUCUAUAAACACCAUUCCUUCAUCUCAUCCUUUUCCUCCCUUCUGUUUGUUGUUUUAUUAUUAGAUGUCUCCAUGCCACCUUGACUCAAUCUUUGUCUACACUUACAUAUAUACUUACUUACUUACUUACUUACUUACUUACUUACUAUUCAAUAUCACCAUGCUACUUUGAUUGGAUCUUAGAUAGUAUCUUCAGAUCUUUUUCCACAAUAUAUCUCUAUCUCAUUCUUUGUGUUACUACACUUUGUCUCGUCCUGCUGUUGAAUGUCCCCAUGCUACCUUGACUGUAUCUUUUUCUACACUCUGUCUUAGGUCUCUUUACUCUUAGGUAGUACCUUCAUAUCUCUUUUCAUAGCAUCUCUUUAUCUCAUCCUUUAUCUUCUUGAUGUUGUCGUCCUGCUAUUGAAUGUCUUUAUGCUACCUUGACUGGAUAUUUUUCUAAGACUCUGUCCUGGGUCUCUUUACUUUUUAUGUACUAGCUUCAUAUCUCUUUUCACAGUAUCUCUCUAUCUCAUCCUAUGUUUCUUUGCUGUUGUCGUCCUGCUAUUGAAUGUCUCCAUGCUACCUUAACUGGAUCUAAUAUUUUUUAGCCAAUUAUUAUAAGUAACGUUUAAAUCGUAAGCAGCCAUGUUCUGCACUUAAUAGGGAGUUUCGCAACGGUAACGGUUUUAUUUUUCUAUGCGAGCCAAAGCAUACAUUACUAAAGUUU
rnacentral:lncRNA from 1 species